GCUUUCGUGGUGUAGUGGUUCAGCACGCUGGGCCGGGAUUCCAGAAGUUCGCGGUUCGAUUCCCGGCGAAGGCA